rnacentral:misc_RNA from 1 species
GAUUAAGAACGUAGCGAAAUGCGAUACGUAAUGUGAAUUGCAGAAUUCAGUGAAUCAUCGAAUCUUUGAACGCAUAUUGCGCUCUUUGGUAUUCCGAAGAGCAUGCUUGUUUGAGUAUCAGUAAACACCUCAACCUCUUCUUGAUUUUUCAAAAGGAGGGUGGACUUGAGCUAUCCCAACAACCUUUACCGGUCGGCGGGCGGCUUGAAAUGCAGGUGCAGCUGGACUUUUAUCUGAGCUAAAAGCAUAUCUAUUUAGUCCUCGUCAAACAGGAUUAUUACUUUUGCUGCAGCUAACAUAAAGGAUAAUUGUCCUCUUUGCUGACUGAUGCAGGAUUUUACGACACUUUAUGUGUUGUUCAACUCGAUCUCAAAUCAAGUAAGACUACCCGCUGAACUUAAGCAUAUCAAUAAGCGGAGGA